rnacentral:rRNA from 1 species
GUAGGUGGCAAGCGUUGUCCGGAAUUAUUGGGCGUAAAGCGCGCGCAGGCGGUUCUUUAAGUCUGAUGUGAAAGCCCACGGCUCAACCGUGGAGGGUCAUUGGAAACUGGAGAACUUGAGUACAGAAGAGGAAAGCGGAAUUCCACGUGUAGCGGUGAAAUGCGUAGAGAUGUGGAGGAACACCAGUGGCGAAGGCGGCUUUCUGGUCUGUAACUGACGCUGAGGCGCGAAAGCGUGGGGAGCAAACAGGGAUUAGAUACCCUGGUAGUCUACGCCGUAAACGAUGAGUGCUAAGUGUUAGGGGGUUUCCGCCCCCUUAGUGCUGCAGCUAACGCAUUAAGCACUCCGCCUGGGGAGUACGGCCGCAAGGCUG